rnacentral:misc_RNA from 1 species
CUGAGUUAGGGUCUCUUCGGCCCGACCUCCCAACCCUAUGUUUAAUAAACCUGUGUUGCUUCGGCGGGCCCGUCCUUUACUAGGACUGCUGGGGGACUGUUUAACGUCUUCUGGCCCGUGCCCGCCGACAGCCAAACUACAAAUUCUUUGAAAUCAAUCGUGUUAAUUUCUGAGUAUUAUUUUUAAUUAAAGCA